rnacentral:piRNA from 1 species
UUAGCCUUUCAUGGUGGGACUCUCCUAGU